rnacentral:rRNA from 1 species
CAAUAGCGUAUAUUAAUGUUGUUGCAGUUAAAAGCUCGUAUUUGGACUUCUGCCGGAGCGUCCGGUCGUCCCUCCAUCAGGGUCCGGGUUGUCAUGCUUUGGAACCGUUUGGACCGUUUUCGGGCAUUUUCCGGGUUCAGGUCCCGUUGGACGGAAGGCAGGCUGGUUUGGGGCUUGGGCAAUUUUAAAAGGUUUUGGUUCCCCGGGCGUGGGAUCGCCAUCAUUUACUGUGAAAAAUUAGAGUGUUUAAAGCAGGCGUUUGCUGUGAAUACAUUAGCAUGGAAUAAUAAGAUAGGACUUUGGUGCUAUUUUGUUGGUUUGUACACCGAGGUAAUGAUUAAUAGGGACAGUUGGGGUAGUUCUGUAUUUAAUUGUCAGAGGUGAAAUUCUUGGAUUUAUGAAAGACGAACUACUGCGAAAGCAUUUACCAAGGAUGUUUUCAUUAAUCAAGAACGAAAGUAUGGGGAGUCGAAGAUGAUCAGAUACCA